rnacentral:lncRNA from 13 species
AACGCCGCGGGGUGGGGGGCCACGUGCUUCCGGCGUGACCUACCGACCGGAAGUGGCCUGAGUCGGGUGGGAUAGGGUGGCGCCGCUAGGCCGGGAGGGCGGAGGCCCUGAGCCCCAGGUCAGUGGAUUGCGAGCUGCCAUGCCCCGCCUGGAGGCGACAAGGACCCGCAGCCUCCUUCUCUCCUACUCUUCCUAGCAUCGCCUGCCUCUGCUUCUUUCUGGGGGAGAGUGUCCAGGGGAAGGAGAGUGUCCAGGGGAAGGAGAGUGUCCAGGGGAAGGAGAGCCCCGGCCUGGGCGUGGUGGAACGGGGAGUGGCCCCAUUAGUAUCAAACCUCGUUCGUCACCUUGGGUCAGGUCCGGACCCUUUCAGUGUCCCUGGUUUUAAAAUGAGGUUGUGGGACUGAUGCAUUCCCGGAGCUCUGGACUCUGGGUGGAUGCUUCUAGGGUAUCUGUUUGAGUUUCGGGGAGCAGGGCCCCCUUCUCAGUACAGGGCUUUCAGCACCAGUUUCUUGACCUCCUCAUGUUCACAUCAGCCUCCCACCUCGGGGCCACAUUGGGAACCUUAUCAACAGCAUCGACACCUCCUCUGAUGGCCCCAGCCACAAUCUCUUCCACUUCCAGCUACUUGAGUCACUUCUGUGGCAGCCCCCACCCACAGCAGCUUCUGGCAGUGUCAGAGGAUGGUCAAACACAUCACGGGGUGGAGUGCCUUCUUCUCCUAUUACAGAUAUGGCUGCUACUGUGGGCUUGGGAGCAAAGGGAUCCCUGUGGAUGACACUGACAGCCACCUCUGGGUGCCAUGAAAGCAAGGACUACCUCUGCUUUUUCAGACAGCUGUCUCCUCCGAGACCAUCACAGUGCCCGGCUCAUGGUAGGUGCUCAGUCAAAAGUGUGAAAUGAAUGAAUGGACCUAGAUUUGUGUCCUGGGUCUAUCAUUUUCCAGCUGCCUAAGUUUGGGAAAUUGGCCUCUCGGAAUCUCAUUCCCUUCCCUACAAAAGGGCAACAAUUAUUUUACUUCAUAUGUUUCUACGAGUAGCUAAUGAGAUAGCAACAGAUACUAGAAAGGGCUCAGGAAAUGCUACUGGUUGUUUUAUUAUUUUAUUUUAUUUUUUUUUAGAAGAUGGGGUCUCGCUCUGUUGUCCAGGCUGGGGUGCAGUGACUCCAUCACAGCUCACUGCAGCCUCCAUCACCUGGGCUCAACCAGUCCACCACCCUCCUGAGUAGCUGGGACCACAGGUGGAUGCCACCAUGCCCAGAUUUUUUUUUUAAUUAAAAACCACAGGAGGUCUCCCUAUGUUGCCCAGGCUGGUCUCAAACUCCUGGACUGAAGCGAUCCUCCUGCCUCAUCCUCACAAAGUGUUGGGAUUGCAGGCAUGAGCCACCAGGACCAGUUUUAAUAUUGUUGAUAAUUCACCUCCCUGCCUUCAAUGCCUUCUUGCCUAGAGGAGGAGGCAGGUGAAUGCGUUCCAGUCCCUGGAUAAGGUCCCCCAGCAAAUUCCCAAGGGACCGACUCCCGGGCACAUCCCUAUCUCCCACUUGUCUCACCCCAGAUGCUGCCGGGCACAUGACUGUCGCUACGAGAAGCCGAAGGAGUCCGGCCGCCAGCCUGUGCUGAAUGGCUACAGUUCCACACCGUCAAUGGCACCGUGGUUUGUGAGUAGCUUCUUCUGUAGGGAAAGGUCUUCGAACUUGGGCCUUUCCUUAACAUUCACCUCCUCUUUGACCCGGUGAUCUUUUAGAAAAUGAAAUGCUUCCAAGUGCUUGGAAGGAGGCAAUCCUGAGCUGCUUCCUGAUGCUGCAGAGCUUCUCCGAAUGUCCAUGCUCAUCUUGCCCUGGCCCUCCCGCCCGUGAAUGUAUCUCCUACACUCUCUGGGGGCCCAGAGCCCGGUAGAUAGUACAUGCUCCAUAAAUACUUGCUCACUUGGGCUUACACUGAAUGUUGAAGCUUCCCUUGACAACUGUUACUGUUGAGAACAUGUUUCCUUGUUUCUGUCAUGUGUUAACAAAACGACUCAGCUGUCCUCCAGUUGGACAAAUAUUUAUUAAGGACGACUGCAUCUCAAGCACCAGGAUAGGUGCUGCCAGGGCCACCAAAGCAAAUAGGUAAGAAGAGCAGGGGGACUCACAUGUUACUGAGACCACUCAAGGACAAGGGCAAGUGGGCAGAGUGCCCUGCAAGUGGGGGGUGGCCUUGGCAUCCAGAUUGUGUUCUGGGGCUGGUAGGGUAUGGGUAUGUGCAGGGUAAUCCUGGGCUAGACAGCAGGCACAUUCAGAGGCACCCAGUGGUGGCCUUUGGUGAGGACCAUCCUUUCCAGCAGAGCAGGGAGGGUCCUGGGGUCCCAGGCUGGGAGGGUGAAGAGCACUGAAUAAACACGUGGCCCGUUACA